AUUGAGCGCUGGCGGCAGGCUUAAUACAUGCAAGUCGAGCGGAGAGAGGUAGCUUGCUACUGAUCUUAGCGGCGGACGGGUGAGUAAUGCUUAGGAAUCUGCCUAUUAGUGGGGGACAACAUUUCGAAAGGAAUGCUAAUACCGCAUACGUCCUACGGGAGAAAGCAGGGGAUCUUCGGACCUUGCGCUAAUAGAUGAGCCUAAGUCGGAUUAGCUAGUUGGUGGGGUAAAGGCCUACCAAGGCGACGAUCUGUAGCGGGUCUGAGAGGAUGAUCAGCCACACUGGGACUGAGACACGGCCCAGACUCCUACGGGAGGCAGCAGUGGGGAAUAUGGACAAUGGGCGGAAGCCUGAUCCAGCCAUGCCGCGUGUGUGAAGAAGGCCUUUUGGUUGUAAAGCACUUUAAGCGAGGAGGAGGCUACCUGGAUUAAUACUCUAGGAUAGUGGACGUUACUCGCAGAAUAAGCACCGGCUAACUCUGUGCCAGCCGCCGCGGUAACAC
rnacentral:rRNA from 1 species